UUCCGUAAUUUGGCAACUUUUUCCAUCCGCCCAAAUUUAAAAAUUUCAGCCACCCAAUUUGACUGUUUUUUCAUCUUUUUCUUUGUUUCCAUGUUUAUGGGUCCUAUAAUCUAAAGGCCGUUCCCGUAAUUCCACCGCACCGACAGAGAAAGUUCAUGUCAUUUUCCACUCAGGCGGCUGUUACAGUAUCAUUAUUAAUUAAUCCAGCAAUAAUUUCUGUUUACCUACCAUUAAUUAAUCAAAAUAAUUGAGAGCUCCUUUCAGUCUGUUUGUGUCAUUAAGAACUCGAAUUUUGGUUUGAUCUCCUCAUUUAUCAUCUCACAGCACCUUGUGGCAAAUUCUAUUCAUGAUCAUUGAGGUAACUUUUAAUUUGCUGUUCCAUAAUUAAUUUUCAAUUUUAAUCCUUGAUAAUUUGGUUGACCUGAUCAUUUCUAUCACCUUUUUAAAUCAUUCGUUUAUCACCGUAUAUGUAUUUUAAGCUUUUAAUUAUAAUUGUAAAGUUUAAUUAUUAUCUUUUUCGCUCAUUUUUAGGAUUAGAUCAGAUAUUGAAGAUACAAAAAAAAACAGGCGAAAGAAAAUAAAAGCAGGCUGAUUGAUUGUGAGACUUCUUUCUCAAAUCUCUAAUUAAGUUGAUAUCUGUAAGUUUUUCAAUGCUAGUAACAACUACAUGAAUCCAUUUUGCUUUUUUCCUACCUUGAUAACAAUUACUACUAUAAAAUGUCUUACUCUUGAAAAUUAAUUUUUUGAUAUAUAUCAGACUAGCCAGAGAACUUCAAUUUUAUAUUUUUUUGAGGCUUUUA
rnacentral:lncRNA from 1 species